CGUGAAUCGGGUGACGGUAUUCUUUUUAGGUAUUGCCUUGGUGAUUAGAGGGGCCGUGUGUCAGCUUCUGGUAAUUCUUAAUUGAUUUCAAUGGUUGGAUUGGGAAUCGUAAAUUUCGAUGGCGGGAAUCGUGUGACGGAUUUUUUUCCCCUCGCAGAUUCAAGUAUUUUUCGGAGAAACAUUGUUUUUCUCGUUCAUCCCUUUUAAUUCUAAUGUGAAGAUAUCGUGAUUUCCAGGUCCUAUAUCAAUAAUCAUUCCAAGAAUCUUUUGGUUUAUGGUGUUUUCUUGAUACUCAUUAUGUGAAGAUUGGAUCAUUCUGAUGACUCUUCGGCACUUUCAUCCCGUUUUCCUCCGUUAUGUGGGUUUUUAUUUCUUGGUUUGUUAAUGGUUUCAGUUAUGGGUUUGAUAGCGGGAAAUUUGAUGGCUUGGUGGGGUUUAUUCCUCUCUUGUAAUUUUGCAGAACCUUUGGUUUUUAACGUGAAGAUAUUGUGAUUUCCUGAUCAGAUGAUCGGGCUACGACAAUCAUUCAGAGUGGGUUUCUUGUAUUUUCUUGACACUCUUUAUGAGAUUCUUCGUGGGUUUUUCUUCCUUGGUUUGGCAGAUUCUGCUUUUGGUGGUAGUCCGAGCUUUCGGUAAUUUUUUGUUGAUUUCAAUGGAUUGAGACAAUAAGAAGUUUUGAUGGUCUGAUCGAGUUUGAGUUUUCGUGUAUCCCUUGAAUCAUUUAGGGAAUCUGGGUUUCUGGUAUUUUCUUCAUACUCAUAUCAUCUUUCUAUUUUUCCUCCUCUUUGUGGUAUCAACAGGAGUUUUAUAAAUACGUUAGUGGAAUCUGCUUCUGCGUUUUGAGAUUUUAUUUACCAUUAUUUGAUCCGUUCAAAAGGCUUUGUUUGGUGUUUCUAUUAGUUUCUUUGGUACUCAGGGAUUGCACCAAGUGGUUGUUCAGGCUGGUGGUGAUGCAGUAUCUUUAUUUGGUUUCUGAUGGUUAUUUCGAAUUAUGUUUUGUUAGUUGCUUGGAAUAUCUUCACUCUUUGGUAAUACAGAAAACAAUUUUCUGUUGUGAUUCUUUACCCGCUGAUGGAAGUUGUCGGAUAUUAAUGGAAAAGAGGUUUAAGAUUUUUCGAUGUUUUACAUGUUGACUUCUUGUUCAAUGGCUUCAGCUUGUGUUUGGGGGGAGUUAUAGUGGAGAUUGGUUAUUUUAUAAGGUGAUCUGGAGGUGAAUGUAUUCGUUGUACACUGCAACCAACCUUAUGCUGGUGAUCUGUAACCUUUCCCAGUCUGUGCAAUGUAGACUUUUUGUCGUUCUUUUCAUAUAAAAAGCCUUAGGUUCUUCGAUGCUUCUUGUGCAGGCAGCUUCGACAGUAGCAAUCGGUCUAUGUGUAUUACGCAUUAUUUUACCUUUUUUCUUAUUCUAUUUUUUCCAUCUCUUUUCACCUUCAUUCUGGUAUUUCCCCCCCUUCCUGUUUGCAGAAACUGCUUAUCAGUAUUGCUGGUGACCAUCCAAUUCCAAAGUUAUUUAAUUGUCUUUACUGGACUUUGGAAACUUGGGCUGCUACUUUAAUGGACUUGAAUUUAAUUUGUUGAAAUAUCUUUUUCUAUAACUCUCGAUCUAGAUGGCAGAUACUGGGUUUACCUACUAAGGUGAUGUGUGGCUGUUGGCAUUGAUUGGGAAGAAUAGAAGUUUAGGUUUUGGCAAAGAUUGACGCAAUGCUGAACUACUCCUAGGAAUUGCAGUCUCUUAAUGUCAGAGAGCUCUUUAGGUGCAAUAACUUGUUUUAUAACAUUCUUUCCUAGUCUUUUAAGCAUUGGGAUUUCAGAUUACCCUAUUUCUGAUUUAUACUGAUCCAUUACUCCUUUUUUGAGUAGUCACUGUUUGUAACUGGAUAUGUUUUUUUGUUUCUUUCCAUAUUUCCAUUUCCUCCCCUACCUAGUAGGUGGUGGCUGUUCAGUCUUCUAAAACUUUUGUAGCAUUGAAAUUGAAGGAUAAUGGGGAAGUUGUACACCUGCUCUAAUUAUGAAGUUCAUUUUUCUUUCGUUGGACUCAAAAUUACCUGCCAUUCUGCAUCUAUUUAUAAGAACAUUCACAAUUAUACACCUGCUUGUCAGUUUUCCAUGUAUAUAUUUGUUUCUGAAGGGUUAUUCCACGACAAGAGGUUGCCAGUCACAAUUAUAUGUUGUACUUUGGUUAGACCAAAUAUUCCACAUACUUCUCUUACUGUUUAUGCUUAGCGUUCAUAGUAAUAGGCAGUUCUGAAGCUAAAUUAUUAUUUCCUGUCAUUUGUUUGGGAUAAUAUUAUUAUUUUCACAUUAGUAUUUAUAAUUUAUCUUUUGGGAUACGCAGAUGAUAUUUUGGUGGACAGUAAUGCCAUAUGGAGAAGGGGCAUAAAAUAGAUUUUUUGGCUUCACCUAGAUUAUGGCAUCCUAUCUUUGCUAACCUGAUCACGCUUGGUUUUUUUCACCAUAAUAGAUUUUUGUCAUUGUUUAUUUAUUUCCUCUCCUUCAUAUUCUUUUUUUAUAGGU
rnacentral:lncRNA from 1 species